CCUACGGGAGGCAGCAGCAGUGGGAAUAUUGCACAAUGGGCGGAAGCCUGAUGCAGCAACGCCGCGUGCGGGAUGACGGCCUUCGGGUUGUAAACCGCUUUCAGCAGGGACGAAGCUUUUUGUGACGGUACCUGCAGAAGAAGCACCGGCUAACUACGUGCCAGCAGCCGCGGUAAUACGUAGGGUGCAAGCGUUGUCCGGAAUUAUUGGGCGUAAAGAGCUCGUAGGCGGUUUGUUGCGUCGGCUGUGAAAACCUGAGGCUCAACCUCAGGCCUGCAGUCGAUACGAGCAGACUAGAGUGUUGCAGGGGAGACUGGAAUUCCUGGUGUAGCGGUGAAAUGCGCAGAUAUCAGGAGGAACACCGGUGGCGAAGGCGGGUCUCUGGGCCGUAACUGACGCUGAGGAGCGAAA
rnacentral:rRNA from 1 species